GCCCGGGUGGUGAAAUUGGUAUACACACGAGACUUAAGAUCUCUCGACGAAAGUCAUGCGGGUUCGAGUCCCGCCCCGGGCA
rnacentral:tRNA from 1 species